AGGGCCCCUCCUGGUUGAUUCCCCAAAUCCACUUCUCCAUCACCCUCACUGACCUUCUCCCACUGUGAGGCCUCCUGCCUUCCACAGGACCUGCCUGCUGUCUCACCUCUUCAUAGCUCACCUCUCUUCUCUACCCCAAGGCUGGCUUUGAGGGACCCUGGCUCCACAGUCCUUGCCACAGUAUGAACAAGGUCACUUCCUGCUGCAGAGUCCUCACUCCAGCUUUCUCACCAAUCCUCCCCCUACACAAGAAGAUCAUCUCUGGGUUCAGGUCACCCAUCCAACUCCACUGAUGGAUUUAGGCUCAUUUAAUCCAAACUCGACUCCAUUUCAGCCAGAACCAGGCACCUCUAGAAAGGUCACCCUAACUGCCACAUCCAGUUCCUGAUCUGCCAUCUGCUUCUUUUCCAUCACUUGUGGGGUAUUUCCCAGCCUACCACUAAUGUGAGCCCUCCUGAGUCAAAAGUUCCCCUCUUCCAGGCCUCCUGCUCAGCUGACGUCCUGGACCAGGCAGGCCACCCUUGUUCCACUUCCCCUGGGAAGACACCUGGGUCUUGUGCCUGCCCUGGAUUAGGGUGGGCAAAUUAGUUCAUCCAGGACUAGAAGAAUGGAAAUAAACAGACUUGUGUCUUGGGGCUGA
rnacentral:lncRNA from 1 species